GGCAGGGCUGUGCCCGGGGAAAGCAGCGGCUGAUGGCAGGAAAAGUUUAGGGGAGGGGGAGCAGCAGGGAGGAGGAAAAGGAGGAGAAGGAGGAGAGGUUUCCUGCAGCCCCCUGUCCGGGCUGGCCCCGCGAUUCCCUGGGGGCUUCGUUCCCGCAGGGAUUGGAAUGGAGCAGCCGCGGGAUUGCCGACUCAGGAGAUCCGCCGGAGCUGUUUACAGCUCUGAGAGAGCCUGGAGGAGCUUUCAGGGCUGUGUGUAAUGCAAAACCCCCUCCUCGUCCCUCUGGCGGGAGAUUCCCACGCCUCCAGCCCCAUACGCUGCCUGUGCCCUGACGCAGAGGGUCGGGACGGGCCACUGCUGUCAUCUGCUGUGUCACAUAGCAGGACAGACAGCCAGGAGAGGCAGAGCAAAAAAAAAAAAACCAAAAAAAAACCCCAAACACCAAAAAAACCCCACCCCAAACCCGGGGGAUACUGCCGAGCAGGAAAUUCGAGAUAUCCAGUGGUCCAGCAAGGAGCUGGGCAGCCCCCUAAGGGAGCUAAAAGCCAGGAACCAGGUUGUGUCUUGGCCGUGCUCCAGGAUGGACUCAGGUCCAGACAGCACCAGGUUCCUGACCCCCUCACACCGUGGAGGUGAUGGGGAGGGUUGCACCGACCUGAAUCUGCCAGAGGAGAACACGGAGUGCACAGAAAAAAACAUCCAGCUGCCUGAGCAGAUGCAAGAGUUUGAUAUUUCACAUGGAAUUAAAAAGAUGCUGAAGGGGAUGGCUGAAAAUCGAGCAGGGAAGAGAGCAGGACACAGCUGGAG